UACGAAGGGAGCUAGCGUUGUUCGGAAUCACUGGGCGUAAAGCGCACGUAGGCGGAUUUGCUAGUCAGGGGUGAAAUCCCGGGGCUCAACCUCGGAACUGCCUUUGAUACUGCAAAUCUCGAGUCCGGAAGAGGUGGGUGGAAUUCCUAGUGUAGAGGUGAAGUUCGUAGAUAUUAGGAAGAACACCGGUGGCGAAGGCGGCCCACUGGUCCGGUACUGACGCUGAGGUGCGAAAGCGUGGGGAGCAAACAGG
rnacentral:rRNA from 1 species